rnacentral:lncRNA from 1 species
UGAGGGAGUCGUUAUCUUGAGAUACUGAACCCAGCUCUCUCAUCAAUUGAUACUCCUGUGGGCCAUUAGAUUCUCCAAACUAUUUCUCCAACUUUUCCCACAGCUCUUGAGCCGAAUUUACACAGAGAAACGCAUCGUGAAACUCUUUUGCCAGUGAGUUUAGAGUCCACGAUAUCACCAUCGCAUUUCCUGCUAACCAAUCUUCGUACUCCACAGAGUCUUCCGGAGGCAUGCUAACCUUUCCAUUUAUGAACCCUUGUUUCUGCUUGGCUGCCAACGCGAUUUUUACAGACUUGCUCCAUGUAAAAUAGUUCAUUCCACUGAAGGGCACUGUCACCUGAGAAAUUCCGGGACUUUCACUUGACAUAUUCGUUGUUGAUACUCUUCCGGAUGCAUUACGAACACCACUAUUCUGAUACGUCGCCAUUAUUUCAGUCGCUCACCAGGGCUCUGAUACCACGAACAAAGGUGAGGUAAAAGAUUUUCUUAUUUGAACGAAACAAGUUCUGGAACAGAGAAGAGAAGUUAAUGUUUCUCCUCUUCUUAUUUUUAUACACGUGUGUUUACAACAGAAGUACACUAAUAUUAG